AGAUACCAAUCGUUGGUGCCCGUUUCGCGUUUCUCGCCGGUUCGUUUAUCACGGGAGGAUGUAACAUUCUGUUCGGGUUUAUUAUCGACAUGCCCACAAACGCUACUUUCACUGGGUUCAGUUUCGCCAUUCGCAUUUUAGAGGGGCUCGGCUCGGCUGCUGUGCUGACGUCAUCAGCGGCCAUCGUAGCUUCUGUAUGCCCUGACGAUGUUGGCAAGGCUGUGAGUCUGGUUGAGACGACUAGCGGCUUUUCUUUAGCAAUAGGGCCAGCAGUAGGCGGCUUGCUGUAUGAGG